GGCCAAAGCGAGUAAUUGAGUUGAGACAUAAGCAUAUCAGGUUGAACGUCAAGAGGAUGGAGAAAUGAUCGGAGUCGAUGCUACUAAAUAAUCAAGUGGAUCUUUUCACGAUUCGUGUCUUCAUACACGAAGUCGUCUAGUAUGGACUUAUUCCGCUGCUCUUUUGUGAAGUGAGACAUCUUAGAAUCUCACCUUCGAACUCUGAUUUAUUGAUGUAAUGUUUAUUCUAGUUCUAAGACCAUGUAAUGGUACAUUUGACUUCUAUUCUAUGAUAUGAUCGACUUGGCCUUCGGGCA